rnacentral:rRNA from 1 species
AUGAUUCUACACUUUUUAGUAUGCCAAAUUUAUGUUGAUGAUAUUAUAUUUGGAUUAACUAACCCUCAUUUUAGUGAGAAGUUUGGAAAACUAAUGUCGGAGAAGUUUGAGAUGUCAAUGAUGAGUGAACUCAAAUUCUUUCUUGGGUUGCAAAUCAAGCAAACUAAGGAAGGUACUUUUGUCUCUCAAACGAAGUACACUAAGGACUUAUUCAAGAAGUUCAAUAUGCAAGAAUGCAAAGGCAUGUCUGCACCCAUGCCUACUAGUGGACAUCUUGAUUUGACCAAAGAUGGUGAACCGGUUGAUCAAAAGGUUUAUCGCUCUAUGAUUGGUUCAUUCUUAUACCUUUGUGCUUCAUGUCCCGAUAUUAUGCUAAGUGUGUGCAUGUGUGAAAGAUAUCAGGCUGCUCCUAAAUAA